rnacentral:misc_RNA from 1 species
UCACCCCUCAAGCCCCGGCUUAGUGUUGGGCUGGAUUUGUCAACAAAAUCGGCCUCAAAGAUAGUGACGGCGUCCCAGAUGGAACCGGUACGAGGAGCUUUUAACCGAGCAUGUACGCGGCGUGAAUCUGUGGGCGGCGGUCUUUAACCACUACUCUUCGGAGUACUUUCUUAAG